UGACAGAUGACAACGUACAACAUCAGAGCUCAGACGUCAAUCUACCCAUCUCACCCACAACGAUGUUUCUUCGGCUGACUUUUCUCUUGGCGAUUCUGCCAGCUAUAAUUGCAGAGUACUGCACGUUUGAAAACCUUCAUGGAAACAAAACCACCCGAAGGUGCAGCAGUGGGUGUUGCACUGACGAGUGUUGUGAGGAGGACAGUUCGGUCGGUGUCUACGUGGGUGGAUCUGCAGGUGGUGGGUCGAUGCUCGUCUUGUUGAUCUGCUACUACUACUGUUGUUGCCGGAACAAUGACCCAGUCGUAGCGGUAGUUAUUUAGGCUGGUGUCAAGGAAUAUGCAGUGGCAACAAUCAUCACAAUUCAAUUUGCCAAUCCUGAAACCUAAAACUUUAUCUACAUUUGUUACACUGUCUACUCUUUCAACAUGUGUUAUUAACUUGCUACGUACACUAUCUACCAACAGUGUUAUCGCUUUUCUACUCUAUCAACAUGUGUUAUACUGUCUACUACAUACUUCUCCUCCGUCCCAGGGGGCACGGGGGGCCCAGUCGUCUAAAGGCGCCGCGAUUCGCUGUGCAGAGUGGCGUCCCUUGGGCACGCCAGAAACCUGUUUCUAGGUUUGUCAGCACCACACCCGUGCUCGUGGGUUGCAC